AUUCAUACAGGGUAUUGCACAGUCCGACCCUAUCCACUUUGCAUUACAAUGGCACUCUGCCAUCUCAAGCUCUGUGUUGUAAAGACACUGGCCUUCAUCUGAAAUGGGAAAGGACCUUUUGGUUAGAGGUUAUACAAAGGCGGGACUUACUGCUGCAGUUGUUUGGACACAGAGGCAGACCACAGUCGUCACCCAUCCAGCCGUUGUCACAGAGACACGUCAUCUUUACGCAGGUGCCAUGGCCGUUACAUCUGCCGUCAGGUCCCGGGCAGCCUUCUGUCUCGCACAGACUUUCAAUGUACGCAUUGCCUGAAACAUGACAUACCGUUGUCAGAGCACUCCAGUUGGCACCGGUCUCCAUUGUAGCAGGUGAAACACUCACACUCCCCACCCGUCACGUCCGUCGGCGGGGCCAUUGUCACUGUGCCGUUCUCACACUUCUUCUCACAGUACAUUCCAAACCAGCCCUAAUUGACCAAGAUUACUAUCAGUUGUAGAGUGAUGGAGAUUUUUGGCCUUUUUAUUGAAGCCAAAUCGAUGACACAUUUUGGUAUUCCGGUUGAUCCAUCACAACGUCCCCUGUCCUCUUCUGAAUAGCAGGAAUCAUCUCCACAGUCAGGAAUGCUGCAGUCAGCGCCAGUCCAUCCUGAUAAAAAAUAAUGAAAAAUCGGAAUGAUUUGAAUAAUACAUUCUGUAACAAAAAGGCUACACCACAGAUAAUAAUCAGCAACAAUUUAACAUGAAGCAUGCCAUUGUUAGGGGCUCAAUACAUGCAAAUAGAAACUGUUUAUAGAGACAUACAAUGUAUUGCUCUUUUACUCUCUAGUGCCUUACAUCUAGAUUUUCAUGUAAUGAAAGUAUGUGGAUUCAUUAUAUCUUUUUUUAUCUUAAAUUUGUUCAUUUGUUUUUAAUGACUGCUAUGAAACUUCAGAUUUGAAAAAUUUCCCUGGAUAAUUUAUUUCGCAGUUUAAAGGACCCAUAAAAUACACAUAAAUUAGUGUACAACAAGUAAUAGUUUCACAGUUUGGCUUA